ensembl:lncRNA
UGUAUUUAUAGGAUAUGUGAAUUCCGGAGACUAAAAAAGAAAUAACUUAUACUUAAUUUCCAAAUCUGUGAAGUAUGAACUCCACCCCAGAAGCAAUUCCCAAGGGGCCAUAACAGCAUCCAGCAAAGGUGUUACUCCAAAAUCAUCACCAGAAACUGUGUUAUCGUUGCGCUGAGGAAAAUAUGCACCAAAGAAGGAACUGAUCCUCUCCCUGCACUCUCCUGCAGCCUCUCCAUUUCUGCAAAUGGAAGAUAGAUGUGUGGAACUCCCGUUGACAUCAAGAAGAGAACUGAAGAAAUGUACAGGUAGUGCAGCUUAAAGGGAAUCUUACUGCUAG